GUUUACAAGCCACAGUGUUUCUGCGACUACAGCGCGGUCGUUUUUCACAUCGCAUGGACUUAAAGCUGAAACUGAAAAUGUUAGACACACCUCUUUAGACAAACGAGGCAACCCCAGCAACACCAACUUUUCCACGCGUCUCCCUUAAUGAUCUCCCUAACCAGAGCACGCCAGAAGAACCCCAGCUUGUGCAAAGCAACUACCAGGCUUAAAGAUCAAAUAUAGGCUAGUGGUGCGCGUCUGCCACGGAAUCCAUUGGCAAAUGAGUUUUUCACGAUGCCUGGCGACUGCAAGGAGUGGUUUCGCUCUGGGAAACCGGGGCUGUGGUCACUUGCAGCGCGGACACUGUCCGUCUUUCACCUCUUUAGCCCGAGCCAUUUUCAUUAGCGCUAGGCUGUCUGCGAGCACAACAGGGACGGUUGUAAUCAGCAGCCAUAGACUGUGAAGUGGGAGAACCUAAACGUGACGUCAAUGCCUAGUAACUGACGCAGCCCUUAAAAAAAAAGCGAGAUUCUGCAAGCGUUAAUUAUCAUCGUUUGUGUACUGCUCUAAAGACAAAACAUAUUCGGCUCGGUUGUUUGCGCGCUCGGGUCCGUCUGUGUGAGUGAGAGUGUGUGCGUGCGUGCGUGCGUGUGUUUUCUUUAUGAGCAGCGAAUCCGUCCCGAGUUUCCAAGCGAAAGUUGCAUGGAGACACGCCGCAUAAGACGCGUAUAAUAAAGAGGAUGGCGAGCAACAUAAAGGAACGAGGAGAGCGGGAACAACUUGUGCUGAGAAAGCGAACGUUUAAGAAAUAUUUAGCCCAUAAGAGAGAGGGGCACUGAAGCAGUUCGUUUGAGAAAAAAAGAAAGAAAGAAAAAAAUCACUGCAGCGAUGCAUCGGAGGCGAGUCGGAGCCCUUGCAUGGAGUUGGAGAGGCAAAAUUAAUGUACAUUACAUGCACUCCACGUAACGCUCCUGAGCGAUGUCUUUGUGAGUGUUUUUUUUUCUUACUGGGCGCUAAAAAUAGCAUCAGUGUUUGAUCGUGGUCCAGAAAUAGGCAGAGGGUAUCACUUGUAUAAAAAGGACUGCGAUUCUGACAAAACUUGGACGUGUUGCUGAGGAUAGAUAUGAAUCAAGGGCAGUAUUUGAUUUUUCGUCUUGCUUGUUGUUUUUGCUCACGUAUGAUGAUGGUGUUAUACUCAUGUCUGUGUUUUUCCUGCUUUCAGCCAGGGCUUCCUGCACUGGGCAGGACAGAACUUGAGGCAUCCAUCGUGUCAAGGACGGAGGGUGAAAUGAACGACUCGAAUCACAGAACGUUCCCAAACGGUGCUGCUCGUGACGUCACUGGCUUCGCCUGUGUAACGUCUUAAGAGCUCCGGAUGCAGUUUACAGUUAAACAGUCUGAAAGUCACAAAGAAAAUCUGCUGAUGACUGGACGUCUUUGCAAAAGUGAGAUGUGAAGCCAAACUGACUGCGUUACUCAUGGAAGGGGAGGAACGGCUUACAGGAAUGGAAGAUGAUGAAGGAAAAUGAGGAGUUUACCAAUAAACAAGCGUGGCAAAGGCCCCAGUCGUGAGAAUACCGUAGUGAACUCCUAUGGUUAAUCAUCUGAUUCACAACAUUCACACGUCAGAGGGAAAAAUGACAAGGAUAAAAGUCUGGGAAACUUUACCUUGUGUCCUGCACAGGAUGAACGUCAAACCAGCGUCUGUUAAACUGCUUUCCACCUGUAAAUGGAUAUUCAGCAAGUUGAUUACUUUGUAGGAACAACAUUAACACUGUCAGGUAUUUGCAAUAUUUGUCUGUAAACUACUUUGGGUUUAAUAAAUGAGAUGGAGCUGCUUACGUUGUGACGUGCACACGUUUGUAACGUCUGAAACGCAGGAGCUGAGACGUAAUAUGAAAAUGAUAACGUGUUAAAUACGUGAGCUUUAAAAACGUUUACUCGCACAUAAAUCCAUGUAUAGAUACGUAUGUUGUAAUUAUUCACCUGAAUGAGAGAAACUGUAUAGACGAGACGCACGUAAAAGCGCUUGUGAUGAGUUGUGUUGUUUUAAUUCUCAAAUCAGACGCAGUCUGAUUUAAUCGUAUUUGUUCUAAUUAAAUAAUAGCCUAUAUGUAGCUUGAAAUGGAUUUGUUGUGACUGAGGUAAUAAGAACGUGUGCGUAGCGCAAGCGCGUGAAACGUCUACGUCUGUAGACGUGUGUGAAAAUUACAGACGCGAGUUUUUAAGCUUGUGGUGCUUUAUAGUUGUUAGGCUUACAUAUUUGUGAGAUCAUAAUAGUUUGUUUAAAAUGUUAUAUGAAGCUGUAGACGCUUGAACGGAGAGUUGGAGCUGUCAGGCGUUCACUGCACAUGCUGCUGAAACGCGCUGCUGCUGCUGACGUAUCACUCACACGGCCCAAAUGAGCCUAGAACUAAAAUAAUGCUGCGUUUUCAUACGUUCUUUCGCUAGAUAUGUUUAUUAUACUGUAUAUAUGCAAUAAGGUUUAAUAACUAGUGUUUAGGGAGCAUUUUGAAUACAGUAAAUGUGAAAUAUGACAUGCUGGAAUUGCCAAAGGGUCAGAGGGGCUGGGUAGUGAAGAAAGGGGGAGAUAUAAAUAUGUUUAAAUUAAAGAAUAAAGAUUAUAGUCGUCGAGUUAGUAUUAGGAUAUCUGUGGUAGAUCAGUGAGCGUCGAGGACUGAAAGCUGGAAUGUAUAAUGUAAUACGUGAGAGAACAAACGUGUGUGUGUGAGAGAGAGAGAGAGAGAGAGAGAGAGAGAGUGUGUGUGUGUGUGUGUUAUGUCUAAAAUUGUGUGUUUUAUGCUUUGUCUAAGCAAAAGAUAAUUAAGUAAAACAUAGAUUUCACAGCAGUAUUAAGAGUAUUUAUUUUGCAGGAUAAUAAUAAAAAAAUAACACUGUGUUUUGGAUUGCUUGUGCCUUACGUCUUUUAUUUGUAUUGCUUUAUAAUUAUAGUAUUUUCUGCUUAGCUGCUAUUGUAUAUCACACAGCCCUAAAUGUGUUGUAUAACAGCUGAAUUGAGUAAAAUGAGCAAAGUGUGCUUGCUGCAGUGUGGACGACGUAAGAACGUAACGUGUGAGUUCUGCACUUCUGUGUAUUUGAACGUCACGCACACUGAGAAAAAAAUAUGCUGCACUAACUAUUCGACUCUGACUAAUUGUUUAGCUAUUUUAUUGCAUGAAACAUGCUGUACAUGUGGUGAGGGUAAUAUAUGGUGUGAUUGCAAAUUCCAAAGCCUGGAAGUUCAGACAAAGUUAUGAAUCACCUAUUUUGUAAACAAACUGCUUGCUUUAUGUAUUCUCUAUCCCAUGUCAGAGAAAAAUAAAAUGUU